rnacentral:lncRNA from 1 species
AGAGAACAAAUCCUAUGGGGAUCCCACUGCUUACCACCCUCCGUUGAGGCUGCUGGCAACACAUUUUGCUUCAUAGAAGACAUGCAAAUUUAUGGGACACAACUUGACAGGAUGAAGGCACUGCGUACAUAGAAGGUGAUACCCUUCAGCAAGAGAAUGACUAGAAUGCCUAGAAGCAAUGACCCUUUACAUUGUCGGCAACACAGGCUGAAGACACCCGAGUCCCUCAGCCUUUCCUCAUAUGGUUUGCCUUGCAAGUCUCUGAUCAUACAGGUGGCUCUUCUCUGAACUCUCUCAAGCUUUUCCACAUCCUUGUUGAAGUGUAGUGCCCAGAACUGGAUGCAGUACUCUAGCUGGGGUCUCACCAACGCUGAAUAAAGUGGAAGAAUCACCUGCCUGGUUUUGCUUG